UACGGGGGGGGUAAGCGUUGUUCGGAAUUACUGGGCGUAAAGGGCUCGUAGGCGGCCAACUAAGUCAUACGUGAAAUCCCUCAGCUUAACUGGGGAACUGCGUGUGAUACUGGAUGGCUUGGAUUUGGGAGAGGGAUGCGGAAUUCCAGGUGUAGCGGUGAAAUGCGUAGAUAUCGGGAGGAACACCAGUGGCGAAGGCGGCUUUCUGGCCCGUUCUUGACGCUGAGGCGCGAAAGCUAGGGUAGCAAACGGG
rnacentral:rRNA from 1 species